rnacentral:rRNA from 1 species
UUAGAGGAAGUAAAAGUCGUAACAAGGUCUCCGUUGGUGAACCAGCGGAGGGAUCAUUACCGAGUUUACAACUCCCAAACCCAAUGUGAACCAUACCAAACUGUUGCCUCGGCGGGGUCACGCCCCGGGUGCGUCGCAGCCCCGGAACCAGGCGCCCGCCGGAGGGACCAACCAAACUCUUUCUGUAGUCCCCUCGCGGACGUUAUUUCUUACAGCUCUGAGCAAAAAUUCAAAAUGAAUCAAAACUUUCAACAACGGAUCUCUUGGUUCUGGCAUCGAUGAAGAACGCAGCGAAAUGCGAUAAGUAAUGUGAAUUGCAGAAUUCAGUGAAUCAUCGAAUCUUUGAACGCACAUUGCGCCCGCCAGUAUUCUGGCGGGCAUGCCUGUCCGAGCGUCAUUUCAACCCUCGAACCCCUCCGGGGGGUCGGCGUUGGGGAUCGGGAACCCCUAAGACGGGAUCCCGGCCCCGAAAUACAGUGGCGGUCUCGCCGCAGCCUCUCCUGCGCAGUAGUUUGCACAACUCGCACCGGGAGCGCGGCGCGUCCACGUCCGUAAAACACCCAACUUCUGAAAUGUUGACCUCGGAUCAGGUAGGAAUACCCGCUGAACUUAAGCAUAUCAAU